GCGAAUCUCGAAAGCCUGUCUCAGUUCGGAUUGGAGGCUGAAACCCGCCUCCAUGAAGCUGGAUUCGCUAGUAAUCGCGCAUCAGCCACGGCGCGGUGAAUACGUUCCCGGGCCUUGUACACACCGCCCGUCAAGCCAUGGAAGCCGGGAGUGCCUGAAGUGCGUGACCGCAAGGAGCGUCCUAAGGCAAUACCGGUGACUGGGGCUAAGUCGUAACAAGGUAAC
rnacentral:rRNA from 1 species